GUGUCUCUCCGACUCUCCCUCCCAAUAUCUCACGUCCUCCAGACGAGCGCCCCACUGCCCGCCCACCACGCCCCACCGCACUCCUCCCUGCGCUCCACCACGCCCACCGUGCGAUGGACGGCGGCGGGAGGCCCUCGGCGCGGUGGCCCAGCACGGCGACCCCAGGCACGGCAACGCUGGCACGGACAGACCCUGGUGCGGCAACUCCGGCGUGGUGGCGGUUCGGAUCCUGUGGCACGGCGGCCCAGACGAGCGAGGCCGACGGGACCGUGGGGAGGUGGUGCGGCUGCGCCGGGCAUCGUGGGGAGGAUGGCGUGGCUGCGUGGAGGCGACUGGCUGCGUCGAUCGGCACGGCUACGAGGAGGCGGCAUGGCGGCGAGAUUGUUGGGUUCGUGAGCCCGCCGAUGAGGAGGUCCUCCACUGCAUCUCCACCAUCAGUACCAGCACCGUGCCUCCUAUCAAUCACCACCACCUCCCUUCGCAUAAACUGCUAAGUUUGCACUUGAUUUGCAGAUACAUUUCAUUUCCAGUGGCCUCUUUGAAUUUUAGAGAUACAUCAUAUGGUUUUUCCUACAGAUUAAAUCCACAAAUAAUUUAAACUAUCUUAUUUCUGCCACUAAAAUGUUAUGCGAAUCUAAGCAUUUAAUCUGGUUUCAUAGAACAUUACCUAUAAAAUGCCCUGCAAGCUUAUGCUUUUAUGGAUAUAAGGAUAUUGGAUUAUUGUUAUACACUUAUAUACUACAUAAUAAUCAUAAUCAUUCUUGGAACUAUAUAAUUUUGUGCCUCCAACUAAAAAUACAAUCCAAUAAUUUUCCGGUCUAUUAAAUUAUUAAUGCAGGACAUGUAUCUGAUUGUAGCUUUCUUGCACUUUGAGCUGUUUUUCUUUUUAGUUGCUUUGCAGGACAGUAGCCUCUACUUUUGUGUUGUUAUUGCCAUUUCCCAUUUCUGUAUCAGUGUACUCUACAAUUAGCUUCUAAGGGCUUUCAGAUCUAUGCUUUUGGUUUAUUCAGUUCACUUGCUAAAUGUAAAUGGUCUCAUGAAGAAAAAAAAGUAAGCAAGUCAUCCAAGGUUCAUGUUGUGCAAUCCAUUUGUCUUCUGCAGUUGUCUGAUUAGCGUCGUGGGCUUUCCCUUCCCCCUCCUGACCGCGCCCCCUGCUCCUCUCCUCCCUCAAUUCUGCGUCGUGCCACGCCGUUUAAUAUUAUGUUCUCAAUAAGGUACACAACAGGUAAUUUGCUGCAGGUCAUCACUAAGGUCCACAAUGGAGAAAAGUGGACUAUAACCAUUAACAUGGUAGCACAUUCAUACACUGAAGAAUGUCUUCUAUGUCUGGAUUAAUGUACUUAUAACAGUACCUGCACAUAUAUAUAAGGGUGCUCCUCUUGCUGGAUAAUAUCUCUGGAGUACCUGCAGAAGGGCCAUGCCCAUCAGUUUGGUUGAACUGGAGGCUGGAGCACUUGUCUCAGGAGUUGAAGCAAAAUUUGUUGAUGCAAAGACAAUGAAGCAUCUGCCUCUGAACCAGCUUGGAGAAAUCUGUGUUCGAGUACCAAACAUAAUGGAAGAUGAUAUUUGAUUAUUUUCAGCCUUAUUAAUUAUGUUUAUUUACAAAUAUAACUGUGUAUAUAUGCCAAUGUUUGGAUUGUGCUAUUAACUUGUGCUUUCAUUGUUUAACGUCUCGAUGGAUUGUGCUGUUUUAAUA